rnacentral:rRNA from 1 species
CACGGGGGGAGCAAGCGUUGUUCGGAAUCACUGGGCGUAAAGGGCGUGUAGGCGGUCAGGUAAGUGGGAUGUGAAAUGCCUCGGCUCACCCGAGGCACUGCAUUCCAAACUGCUUGGCUUGAGUAUGGGAGAGGAUGAGGGAAUUCCUGGUGUAGCGGUGAAAUGCGUAGAUAUCUGGAGGAACACCGGUGGCGAAGGCGGCGUUCUGGACUGUUUCUGACACUGAGGAACGAAAGCCAGGGGAGCAAACGGG